rnacentral:tRNA from 1 species
CUUUAGUUAGUAUAUUUGUACAUUUACCUUCCAAGUAAAAAGUCUACAUAGUAGCCUAAAGA